GUCUACGGCCAUGCCACCCUGAACAAGCCCUAUCCUGUCUGAUCUUGGAAUCUAAACAGGAUUGGGCCUGGUUAGUACUUGGAUGGGAAACCACCUAGGAAGACCAGGUGCUGUAGGUG
rnacentral:rRNA from 1 species